UACGAAGGGUGCAAGCGUUAAUCGGAAUUACUGGGCGUAAAGGGUGCGUAGGCGGUUGUUUAAGUCUGUCGUGAAAUCCCCGGGCUCAACCUGGGAAUGGCCGUUGAAACUGGCGAACUGGAGUGUGGCAGAGGGGGGUGGAAUUCCGCGUGUAGCAGUGAAAUGCGUAGAGAUGCGGAGGAACACCGAUGGCGAAGGCAGCCCCCUGGGCUAACACUGACGCUCAGGCACGAAAGCGUGGGGAGCAAACAGG
rnacentral:rRNA from 1 species